rnacentral:lncRNA from 1 species
CCCGUGAAUUUCGUUUGACUCCAAAUUUCUGCGGACCCAUCCCGCUGUGCGAUUUAUUUAAUUUUUUGUGUAGGGCAGUUUUUAUUUUUCAAUGGAAAUAUCAAAUUCUGCUUGUUUUAUAAAUUAUAUCUGAAACUUGUUUAAUUUGAUACACAUUUUGUAAAGAAAUGCUUUAUAGACGACUUCCGGCAGCUCCUAACUUUAUAUACAGAAAAUUUUAACACUUCUGUGUCUACGACC